AUUGAACGCUGGCGGCAUGCUUUACACAUGCGAGUCGAACGGUAACAGGCCGCAAGGUGCUGACGAGUGGCGAACGGGUGAGUAAUGCAUCGGAACGUGCCCAGUCGUGGGGGAUAACUACUCGAAAGAGUAGCUAAUACCGCAUACGAUCGAUGGAUGAAAGCGGGGGACCGUAAGGCCUCGCGCGAUUGGAGCGGCCGAUGUCAGAUUAGGUAGUUGGUGGGGUAAAGGCUCACCAAGCCAACGAUCUGUAGCUGGUCUGAGAGGACGACCAGCCACACUGGGACUGAGACACGGCCCAGACUCCUACGGGAGGCAGCAGUGGGGAAUUUUGGACAAUGGGCGCAAGCCUGAUCCAGCAAUGCCGCGUGCAGGAAGAAGGCCUUCGGGUUGUAAACUGCUUUUGUACGGAACGAAACGGCUCUGGUUAAUAUCCGGGGCUAAUGACGGUACCGUAAGAAUAAGCACCGGCUAACUACGUG
rnacentral:rRNA from 1 species